GAGUCUUAACCGGGCGUUAAGUUGCAGGGUAUAGACCCGAAACCCGGUGAUCUAGCCAUGGGCAGGUUGAAGGUUGGGUAACACUAACUGGAGGACCGAACCGACUAAUGUUGAAAAAUUAGCGGAUGACCUGUGGCUGGGGGUGAAAGGCCAAUCAAACCGGGAGAUAGCUGGUUCUCCCCGAAAGCUAUUUAGGUAGCGCCUCGUGAAUUCAUCUCCGGGGGUAGAGCACUGUUUCGGCUAGGGGGCCAUCCCGGCUUACCAACCCGAUGCAAACUGCGAAUACCGGAGAAUGUUAUCACGGGAGACACACGGCGGGUGCUAACGUCCGUCGUGAAGAGGGAAACAACCCAGACCGCCAGCUAAGGUCCCAAAGUCAUGGUUAAGUGGGAAACGAUGUGGGAAGGCCCAGACAGCCAGGAUGUUGGCUUAGAAGCAGCCAUCAUUUAAAGAAAGCGUAAUAGCUCACUGGUCGAGUCGGCCUGCGCGGAAGAUGUAACGGGGCUAAACCAUGCACCGAAGCUGCGGCAGCGACACUGUGUGUUGUUGGGUAGGGGAGCGUUCUGUAAGCCUGUGAAGGUGUGUCGUGAGGCAUGCUGGAGGUAUCAGAAGUGCGAAUGCUGACAUAAGUAACGAUAAAGCGGGUGAAAAGCCCGCUCGCCGGAAGACCAAGGGUUCCUGUCCAACGUUAAUCGGGGCAGGGUGAGUCGACCCCUAAGGCGAGGCCGAAAGGCGUAGUCGAUGGGAAACGGGUUAAUAUUCCCGUACUUGGUGUUACUGCGAAGGGGGGACGGAGAAGGCUAUGUUGGCCGGGCGACGGUUGUCCCGGUUUAAGCGUGUAGGUGUGUGUUCCAGGUAAAUCCGGUUCACUUUAACACUGAGGCGUGACGACGAGGCACUACGGUGCUGAAGCAACAAAUGCCCUGCUUCCAGGAAAAGCCUCUAAGCAUCAGGUAACAUCAAAUCGUACCCCAAACCGACACAGGUGGUCAGGUAGAGAAUACCAAGGCGCUUGAGAGAACUCGGGUGAAGGAACUAGGCAAAAUGGUGCCGUAACUUCGGGAGAAGGCACGCUGACACGUAGGUGAAGUGAUUUACUCAUGGAGCUGAAGUCAGUCGAAGAUACCAGCUGGCUGCAACUGUUUAUUAAAAACACAGCACUGUGCAAACACGAAAGUGGACGUAUACGGUGUGACGCCUGCCCGGUGCCGGAAGGUUAAUUGAUGGGGUCAGCGCAAGCGAAGCUCCUGAUCGAAGCCCCGGUAAACGGCGGCCGUAACUAUAACGGUCCUAAGGUAGCGAAAUUCCUUGUCGGGUAAGUUCCGACCUGCACGAAUGGCGUAAUGAUGGCCAGGCUGUCUCCACCCGAGACUCAGUGAAAUUGAACUCGCUGUGAAGAUGCAGUGUACCCGCGGCAAGACGGAAAGACCCCGUGAACCUUUACUAUAGCUUGACACUGAACAUUGAGCCUUGAUGUGUAGGAUAGGUGGGAGGCUUUGAAGUGUGGACGCCAGUCUGCAUGGAGCCGACCUUGAAAUACCACCCUUUAAUGUUUGAUGUUCUAACGUGGACCCGUUACCCGGGUUGCGGACAGUGUCUGGUGGGUAGUUUGACUGGGGCGGUCUCCUCCUAAAGAGUAACGGAGGAGCACGAAGGUUGGCUAAUCCUGGUCGGACAUCAGGAGGUUAGUGCAAUGGCAUAAGCCAGCUUGACUGCGAGCGUGACGGCGCGAGCAGGUGCGAAAGCAGGUCAUAGUGAUCCGGUGGUUCUGAAUGGAAGGGCCAUCGCUCAACGGAUAAAAGGUACUCCGGGGAUAACAGGCUGAUACCGCCCAAGAGUUCAUAUCGACGGCGGUGUUUGGCACCUCGAUGUCGGCUCAUCACAUCCUGGGGCUGAAGUAGGUCCCAAGGGUAUGGCUGUUCGCCAUUUAAAGUGGUACGCGAGCUGGGUUUAGAACGUCGUGAGACAGUUCGGUCCCUAUCUGCCGUGGGCGCUGGAGAACUGAGGGGGGCUGCUCCUAGUACGAGAGGACCGGAGUGGACGCAUCACUGGUGUUCGGGUUGUCAUGCCAAUGGCACUGCCCGGUAGCUAAAUGCGGAAGAGAUAAGUGCUGAAAGCAUCUAAGCACGAAACUUGCCCCGA
rnacentral:rRNA from 2 species